GCAGCUGUCAGUGCAAAUGUUUGCAGCCUUGUAUUUUGCCAAUUGACAAGCUCGGGUCAGGGCAGUCAACUCGGCCACUUGAGAUGAUCUGGCUUCCAGAAGAGGACCGGCUUUAAUUACCUCUGGAAUAUGGGGCUGUUGCAGGGGCUUGUGCAGGGAAUAGUGAGUCCCCUUUUCAUUCACCUUUUGAUGAAGAAGAUAUAUCGGCAUUAUGGAUGUUGAGGAGAUCAUGGCCCAAAAGAUUGACAAGGGCCGCGAGGCAUAUAAGAAACAUGUGGGACCUGCUGAGCACGUCACACUUAGAGCCUGUGGUGGGGGAGCUGAACCCAAUGAAACGAGAAGGUAAAGGUUUGUACUUAAAACAAGUAAGAUUGUUUUAUUAGACAUACCCACCAUGUUAACUUUUUUAUUACUCCGAGGAAUGGGGUUUCUAAAUAAGCUGGGAUUUGUCAGAGAUAUAGUCAUGCCUGUGUCAAUAAAGGCAGUUGUCAGCUCAAGGUUAUUAUAUUAAUCUCCCUCAGUUUUUUUUUGUCAGGGUAGAAUAUUUGGAGACGUGAAACUCCUGUACUUUCUCAGAGCACCCUAGUCUUCCUGAGUUGCAUUUUCCUGCCUUUUCUUUCAUUUCAGCCUACGGCAAUCCCCUUUAAGGGGUCCCGGACUUUUACAGCAGCAACAGACUGGGAGGGAAGGGUUCUCAGACCUAGAGAACUUAAAAAUCUUUCUGGGGCUGAUAGGUUUUGAAGUUAAUUGCUUUAGCUGUACAUGCAUAACUCCAGCAAUCUUCUGUUUUUCCUUUUUUAUCGUAGUGUGGGAUAAUUGGUCAGCUAAGUUAACCAGUUCAUUAGUUCUGGCUAUGGCCCAGUUUAUCAUGUGGCAUUUUACAAGGGUGGCUAAAUCAUCAUCUAGUCCGUUUAAUAAAUUUGCCUUUAAUAAUGUAUCAUUUCUAUUUUCAAAGCAAUCAGCUGUCAUCUCACAAUAUUGUCUAAAAGUUGUAUCAAGAUGUGUGAAAUAAUCUAAAACUAAUGCAUUUGGGUUCUGGCAGCAUUGCUGGAUUUUUCUCCAAUCCACAGCCCUUUGGAGCACUGGAGGAAUAGUAUUUAACAGUCAUUGCUCGCUCCUGUGCAUCUUUACACCUGUCUUCUGGAUUUGGGGGGGCUGGUUGUUGUGGCUCUACUGGGCCUUCAGGGGUCAAAUCUGUUAUAGGGUCUGACCAUUGUGCUUUUUCUAGCUGUUUUUUAACUUUAGCUUCUGAGACCAACAUGUGGACCAGCUGAUAAAGGUCUGAAUGACCUGGGUCAUAGGUUCUGAUACUGAGCUCAAAUUCUUGGGCAAACCUGAUUGGAUCUUUAUGGGGGCCAGGAAAUUCUUUAACUAUGACUCACAAUUCAGCCUUUGACCAAGGUUGGUAGACAAUCACUGGAGCUCCCCUACCUGUUACCAGUUGUUCCCAAAAUGGGGUGGUCAUAAGAGAAAUCUCCAUAGGAUUCCCCUUUUCUACAUCUUCCAGAUGAGACGCUGCCAUUGGGGCUGUCGGGGAAUCAGCAGCAGCUGGGGUCUUUGAAGUCCGAUUCCUGCCUGCCUUUUGUUGAGCGAGUGUUAAACAUGAAGGAGAAAAGUGGGACAGAUCUGGUCUGGGGAAGUUCAGAGAGGUCAGGGUACAGUGGGAGUGUAGGUGGAGUUACCAAGUGGGAAUAAGGGAUUUCAAGGAUUUCUUUAAGAGACGUGAAAGAUUAGAGAGUUCUUGAUCAGCAUUUCUAAGUUGCUUGUUUGCCUCCUAUAGGGAGAUGAGGCAGUCUUCACCCCUUUUGCUACUCUCCAGAUACCACUGAAAAUAACUCUCCCAUUCUGGUUGCUUAUUUGUUGUGCCUGCAUUUUUUAUCCUGGUUCUCAGGUACACUAAUUCGGGCAUCUCAAAAGAUCCCCAUUUAGGUCAUUGUAACUUAGAAUCUGCUUUAGUUAUAGUGGCCCACUUGUUUAAAUAUUUGCAUGAUGAUUUGUGAUUUGCCAUAAGUACUUUGCAUAUAGCCAGCCAGAGUUUCUAAAGGGGAAUUUUGUGUUCUGCAGCUGCUGGGGUCUUAGAGGACUUGUUCCUCAUAAUUUAGAGCUCCUUUUCAGAUUUGAUGAAGUUGGGACAUAUGUCGGACCCAAAAUGUGCUGCUUGCAGACCUGGCUUUUCAGGGCCGUUACCUCCUGAACCGGUUUGGUCUACCUGUGUCAUGGCUACCUGGCACAAGUGUGUCAGGGGCUCAAGUUGCAGGAGGGGUCGGUUCCUUAUAUGCACCUGCCGGCUGAGAUGAGACCCUAAAUAUGUUCUUCUGAAAGAGGAAACCUAUUUGGAGCUGCUGCACGUCUUAGGGAGCGUUUCUCCCAGACACCCUCAGGUGAUUCUCAGUUGCCUGAGAAUGCCCCGAAAGGCUGAGAGAAGCAAGGUGCUCUAUUUCUCCAGCAUGGAAGAUUCCACAGUCAUGAGCUAGAGGGUUCAGAGUUGGUCAAAUCUGAUUGGGGAAAGGACUGAAACAUAUACACAUACACACACACACAAAGCAGAGACAAGCAACAAAAACAGUUAAGCAAAACUAACAAUGAUCACACAAAAUAUACGAUUUCUAAGCACUCCAAGUGUAAGCAGGAAGUUAGCACCAGCUGGUUGUUAGUGCUAAUUUUAGUCAUUUAAAGAAUUUGCAAGACAGAAUUCCAAACCAGUUUCUUACCUAGGGAUAGGGCCCAAGCUGGAGACUGCUCUCUGCCAAUGCAGAAACAGACAAACUCA
rnacentral:lncRNA from 1 species